rnacentral:rRNA from 1 species
UACGUAGGGUGCAAGCGUUAAUCGGAAUUACUGGGCGUAAAGCGUGCGCAGGCGGCUUUGCAAGACAGAUGUGAAAUCCCCGGGCUUAACCGGGGAACUGCGUCUGAUACUGGAUGGCUUGAGAUUGGGAGAGGGAUGCGGAAUUCCAGGUGUAGCGGUGAAAUGCGUAGAUAUCUGGAGGAACACCGGUGGCGAAGGCGGCAUCCUGGACCAACACUGACGCUGAGGAGCGAAAGCCAGGGGAGCAAACGGG